rnacentral:tRNA from 1 species
GAAAUGUAAAGACAUUAUUAGAGCUGCUAACUCAAAAUAACAGCGGUUAAAAUCCGUUAACAUUUCU